AUUGAACGCUGGCGGCAGGCCUAACACAUGCAAGUCGAACGAGGGGCGGACGGGUGAGUAAUGUCUGGGAAACUGCCUGAUGGAGGGGGAUAAAUAGUGGAAACGGGCGCUAAUACCGCAUACCAUCAGAUGUGCCCAUAUGGGACUAGCUUGUUGGUGGGGUAACGGCUCACCAAGGCGACGAUCCCUCGCGGGUCUGAGAGGAUGACCAGCCACACUGGAACUGAGACACGGCCCAGACUCCUACGGGAGGCAGCAGUGGGGAAUAUUGCACAAUGGGCGCAAGCCUGAUGCAGCCAUGCCGCGUGUAUGAAGAAGGCCUUCGGGUUGUAAAGUACUUUCAGCGGGGAGGCGUUACCCGCAGAAGAAGCACCGGCUAACUCCGUGCCAGCAGCCGCGGUAAUAC
rnacentral:rRNA from 1 species